GUAUUGUUAGCCGAACGCUCUGGAAAGUGCGGCCAUAGCAGGUGAUAGCCCUGUAGGCGAAAACAGUAUGAAAGAACUAGGUGUACGACAAGUAGGGCGGGACACGUGAAAUCCUGUCUGAAGAUGGGGGGACCAUCCUCCAAGGCUAAAUACUCGUGAUCGACCGAUAGUGAACCAGUACCGUGAGGGAAAGGCGAAAAGAACCCCGGGAGGGGAGUGAAAUAGAUCCUGAAACCGCAUGCAUACAAACAGUCGGAGCCUCUUUAUGGGGUGACGGCGUACCUUUUGUAUAAUGGGUCAGCGACUUACGUUCAGUAGCAAGCUUAACCGUAUAGGGCAGGCGUAGCGAAAGCGAGUCCGAAUAGGGCGUUCAGUUGCUGGGCGUAGACCCGAAACCAGGUGAUCUAUCCAUGGCCAGGAUGAAGGUGCGGUAACACGUACUGGAGGUCCGAACCCACUAACGUUGAAAAGUUAGGGGAUGAGCUGUGGAUAGGGGUGAAAGGCUAAACAAACCUGGAAAUAGCUGGUUCUCUCCGAAAACUAUUUAGGUAGUGCCUCGUGUCUCACCUUCGGGGGUAGAGCACUGUCAUGGUUGGGGGGUCUAUUGCAGAUUACCCCGCCAUAGCAAACUCCGAAUACCGAAGAGUGCAAUCACGGGAGACAGACAUCGGGUGCUAACGUCCGGUGUCAAGAGGGAAACAACCCAGACCGCCAGCUAAGGUCCCCAAAUAUGGCUAAGUGGGAAACGAAGUGGGAAGGCUAAAACAGUCAGGAGGUUGGCUUAGAAGCAGCCACCCUUUAAAGAAAGCGUAAUAGCUCACUGAUCGAGUCGUCCUGCGCGGAAGAUGUAACGGGGCUAAGCCAUAUACCGAAGCUGCGGAUGCG
rnacentral:rRNA from 1 species